rnacentral:rRNA from 1 species
CACACUGUAAACGAUGAGUGCUAGGUGUAGGAGGUAUCGACCCCUUCUGUGCCGCAGUAAACACAAUAAGCACUCCGCCUGGGGAGUACGGUCGCAAGAUUAAAACUCAAAGGAAUUGACGGGGGCCCGCACAAGCAGCGGAGCAUGUGGUUUAAUUCGACGCAACGCGAAGAACCUUACCAGGUCUUGACAUCCAUUUAAAACUGUUGAAAGAUAGUGUCCCUUCGGGGGAAAUGAUACAGGUGG